UCCUCUGAUGCUGCUUGGCCUGCUGUGUUCAUCCAGCUCUACACCUUGUUAUCUCAUCUUCUGCUGUUGAAGACAUGGGAAGAAAAGGCGGGCUGGGAGCGAAGAGUCUAAGUUCACCCACCACACAACUAGUCAUUCCUCUCUGGAAGAAUUUUAGAAACAGAGUUAAUAGUGACAAAAGUAACUGGCGAUCUUUUUGCGCAUGUGUCGUAACGUCACCGCACAAACAACCUCCUGUCAGAGUGUUAAUGAUUCUCUACCAACUCAGCUUGUGUUUGGGAAGUGCAAGCACGGGUCUGUCUCUCCAAACUGGAGCGAAUCUCUUCGCCUUCGAUGGAUAGCGUAUGAAUGCGCCGUCAGACUAAUAACAUCAUGCUGGAAAAGGUUUGAGGGGCCCCAUUGGGAGCGGGAAUGAUGCAAUCGCUUGGAGCGCAUUAAUCCACCUCCAGGCACAGGCUUUUUGAACAAUCGCACACCCUGCAUUCCUUUCCUUAGUCGCAAUAUCACAACAGACUUGCAUCAGACUGGUAAAUCCGAGACAUGAACAGCGCUCCUCUUCUCUCUUCCCCCGCCCGCCCCAUUACUUCCUCGAUUUUUGUUGUGUACAAAAAGCAUAUUGUGAGGUGGGAUUUUAUUUUGUUUAACUACUCUUGGUACGUGCACAGAUCCCUGUCAAAAAUGGCGUCCCUAACACGGUACCCAUUCUGUCCCUUGAAUUUCUUAAUGAUUUUUUAAGAUCAUUAGAGACCAGGACUCGAGCUAAUAAUAGUCAAGACAUCCCGAUUUAAUUUAGCAGGCCUUUGAAAUUACGGCUUUUAUUUUUCCCUCUGUCGGCCUGUGUUGCUUCGCUUCAUAAAGUCCCUCAAUCACAUCUAGUAAAGUAUUUCGAUCAAAUAUUGGACAGGCAUGACUGGUGGGCGGUGGCGGGCAAUCUGCCACAGGCGAACCCACACCUCUGGCAACAACAAACCUUAAAAUGACUCUUCCAUUUGCAACCGACUGCGAUUUUAAAAGAUACUCUUUCACACUUCGCAACACGUGAACCUCGCAGAGUCGUUUCGAGACAAACAUCUUAAAAGAUCUUCAAGUAUUAAGUUGUCCAAAAAAGGAGAGGUUGUUGGUCUUAUUUGAAUACGUGGAGAAAGCAUUCCAGUAUUUCAGCAACGACUUCCGGUGUUUCAGUAUCACUCGAACCCAUGUUUAAAAAAGACUAAAUUGGAAGUUAUAUGCCCAAAACAGAAAAUAAAGUCGUAUGUGAUUGAUCUAA